rnacentral:rRNA from 1 species
UACGUAGGGUGCGAGCGUUAAUCGGAAUUAUUGGGCGUAAAGGGCGCGUAGGCGGGAAUAAAAGUCAGAUGUGAAAUCCUGGGGCUCAACCUCAGAACUGCAUUUGAAACUCUAUUUCUUGAGGGUAGGCGGAGAAAACGGAAUUCCACAAGUAGCGGUGAAAUGCGUAGAUAUGUGGAAGAACACCGGUGGCGAAGGCGGUUUUCUAGCUUAUUCCUGACGCUGAUGCGCGAAAGCAAGGGGAUCAAACAGG